rnacentral:rRNA from 1 species
UACGAGGGUGGCAAGCGUUGUUCGGAAUUAUUGGGCGUAAAGGGCGCGUAGGCGGUUUGGCAAGUCUGAUGUGAAAUCUAUGGGCUCAACUCAUAGCCUGCAUUCGAAACUGUCGGGCUUGAGUAUGGGAGAGGAGAGUGGAAUUUCCGGUGUAGCGGUGAAAUGCGUAGAUAUCGGAAGGAAGACCUGUGGCGAAAGCGGCUCACUGGACCAUAACUGACGCUGAGGCGCGAAGGCUAGGGGAGCAAACAGG